rnacentral:rRNA from 1 species
UACGGAGGGGACUAGCGUUGUUCGGAAUUACUGGGCGUAAAGCGCACGUAGGCGGAUUUGUAAGUCAGGGGUGAAAUCCCGGGGCUCAACCUCGGAACUGCCUUUGAUACUGCAAAUCUCGAGUCCGGAAGAGGUGAGUGGAAUUCCUAGUGUAGAGGUGAAAUUCGUAGAUAUUAGGAAGAACACCAGUGGCGAAGGCGGCUCACUGGUCCGGUACUGACGCUGAGGUGCGAAGGCGUGGGGAGCACACAGG